rnacentral:rRNA from 1 species
AUACGUAGGGGGCGAGCGUUGUCCGGAAUGAUUGGGCGUAAAGGGCGCGUAGGCGGCCCGGUAAGUCUGGAGUGAAAGUCCUGCUUUUAAGGUGGGAAUUGCUUUGGAUACUGUCGGGCUUGAGUGCAGGAGAGGUAAGUGGAAUUCCCAGUGUAGCGGUGAAAUGCGUAGAGAUUGGGAGGAACACCAGUGGCGAAGGCGACUUACUGGACUGUAACUGACGCUGAGGCGCGAAAGUGUGGGGAGCAAACAGGAUUAGAUACCCUGGUAGUCCACACUGUAAACGAUGAAUGCUAGGUGUAGGGGUAUCGACCCCUUCUGUGCCGCAGUAAACACAAUAAGCAUUCCGCCUGGGGAGUACGGCCGCAAGGUUGAAACUCAAAUGAAUUGGCGGGG